UAUGCUCUCUUUGGGCUUAUCGGGCUUACGGGCUUACCGCUGACCUUCGCCCUUUUAUGGCGGGCUAACCCUUUUGCCCCCUUUGCGAGGGCACAGAAGAAAACAAGUAUAGAGUCAACAGAGGGACUUCUUGGCGGGAAUACUCUGACCUCCGGCCCAUACCACACGCCCAUAGUAACCAUUACUAAUCUCAUUAUGAAUACACUGCGUGCAGGAAUAUGUCCCGGCAGGUAGACGUUAAAUUACGAUGGACUCCUUGUUGCACCUGCUUCAGAUAUCAGAUAGCGCCUUUCCAACUGGAAGUUUUGCACACAGCUCCGGCUUAGAGGCUGCUGUUCAGCGUUCCUUUGUAUCGGAUAAAGAGACUAUAACGCAAUUCCUUUAUGCCAUUCUCGAGAAUACAACUUACGCAGGCUCUCAGAUGGCACCUUUUGUCCGAGAAGCCCGCAACAGCUGGCCUAACUUCACUGAGAUCGUGAGGCUGGACAGGCAGCUAGCAGCCACACUGAACAACCACAUUGCAAGACGUGCUAGCAAGCAACAGGGGAGAUCACUCGUUCAGACUGCAUGCGCCAUCUACGAAAGUGGUUUGCUGUCGGAGCUACAGGAACUCAUUUACGACGAAAAAAUAGAAGCUCAUCAGCCUAUCAUCUACGGUGCCCUAUGUGCCCACUUGAAAAUUAGUGAAGAGAGCACUCUCGUUUCAUUUUUGUCAUCCACCCUAAGGAACACCAUGGCUAGUGCAGUGAGGCUCGGAAAAGUGGGACCGCUCGAGGCACAGAAGAUGCAGUACAGGCUUCAGCAAGCCAUACCAGCAAUGCUAGCCAGGAAUAAGGAAAGACGUGCUGAAGCUGCAUGUUGCACCUUCCCUCUCGUUGAUUUACUGAACAGUUCACACGAUCUCCUGUUUAUGAGGAUGUUCUACUCCUAGACGUUCCUCAAGGACAAGCACAGGUAAUUCUGUGUUUGCGCCACGAAGCAACUGUGGCUAUGAGCGGCGUACAGAUGUGGACAGAUGGAGAGAGGACAGAAGCAAUGAGUGGGGGGGGGUUUAGUAUGCGUCCUGGGCUGACUUCAGAGGGAACUGUGCCGGCAUUCGUCUGGACAGUCUUCGGAAAUCCAGGGAAAACGUCAGACAGCACAGCCGGUGGUAGGAUUCGAACCCACCACCUUCCAGUCUUCAGAACGACCUUGGCUGCCACCAAUCAGCGGGACGCCUUAACCCCCCCCCCCCCCCCCCCCCCCUCUGAUAAUCCAGUUGUGCCCUACGAAUGCUCAACAUGAAACGCGGUGGAACUUCCGCACGUCAUCAGUCUCUCCGUGCCUUCUAUCAGUACAAAAGCAACAAGACAGUGCCAACGCCGCCUAGGGACAGAGGGCCUGGUGGCGGUGAUGGUGAUGGUCAAAGGUCUCGCUGCUUCGGCCUCACAGAAGUGGGCAACAUCACGACUGACGCCCUAGGGAAUGUGCGUCCUGGGCCGACUUCUAAGGGAACUGUGCCGGCAUAUGUCUGAAGCGCCUGAGGAAAACCCAGGAAAAACCCCAGACAGCACAUCCGGCACCGGGAUUCGAACCCGGGUACAGAGGGGCUCCUUUCUUUCCAUCGCACGCAGAAGUCAGGAGGCCAGCCAAUCACUGCAGACGAUUUCAAACACGUGGUUUCUGUGGCUAACCAGCGACUGCCCUGUGCAUGUGUGUGUGUACUAGAUGAAGGUACCACCUCGUUGUUCUUCUCACCCAUUACAAGGGGUGUUACUUCAAAGAAAAGGGUGCAAAGCUUUGGUAUUUAAGCUCUAGACACACGUCGACAACAAUUACGUAGAGGUAUCCCAACUUUAACGUAACCGUAAUGAUGACCACCCGACCACGAUUUUUUCCUGCUCCCCUCCCGCGUGCUUGCGACUCUGGAUAAAGCACUGCGACAUGCAAAUGAC